rnacentral:rRNA from 1 species
UGGGGAAUAUUGCACAAUGGGCGCAAGCCUGAUGCAGCCAUGCCGCGUGUGUGAAGAAGGCCUUCGGGUUGUAAAGCACUUUCAGCGGGGAGGAAGGCGAUAAGGUUAAUAACCUUGUCGAUUGACGUUACCCGCAGAAGAAGCACCGGCUAACUCCGUGCCAGCAGCCGCGGUAAUACGGAGGGUGCGAGCGUUAAUCGGAAUUACUGGGCGUAAAGCGCACGCAGGCGGUCUGUCAAGUCGGAUGUGAAAUCCCCGGGCUCAACCUGGGAACUGCAUCUGAUACUGGCAAGCUUGAGUCUCGUAGAGGGGGGUAGAAUUCCAGGUGUAGCGGUGAAAUGCGUAGAGAUCUGGAGGAAUACCGGUGGCGAAGGCGGCCCCCUGGACGAAGACUGACGCUCAGGUGCGAAAGCGUGGGGAGCAAACAGG